rnacentral:lncRNA from 1 species
CCUUAAACAAUUUUGAAGUGUUAUAAAAAUCCCACUUUUCAGCCACCCUCAAUUGCAAAAAAGAAAGUGUGCUCACGCACCAAUUAUUAUCUGACACGUGUAAAAUUUUAAUUUUUAAUCUUUAUUUUCAUUUUUGGUUUUCUUAAUUUAUUAGCUUCAUUUUUUUUCUCUUACUUCUUCUUUCUUUAUCGCUCUUUUUCGUUGUUGCAGCCUUCCAUCUAGCCAGCCGCCAUCACUGCAAGUCCUCGACUUGGCCACCAUCGCCGCCAAUGGAGUAGCCUUCAUCACGCCAUUAUUAAAAUCUCAUCAAAUCAUUAUUAAAUCAAAAUAAAAUUACUAAUAAAUUAUAAAUUGAAAAUUAAUAAUCACCUUCAAUCUAUCAUCUUCUUUCCAAUAUUAAAACAAUUAUGCAGCGGAACUCCAUUAUGAUGGAGGUAAUGAAAUACUAUAAUACUCUCGAAUCGAUGCUAAA